AGGAGAGAGCGGGGCGGCCGGGGCAGGGGCGCCUGGAGCCUCGUCGCUGAUGAGCUCUCCCAUGAGGUCAGGGAACGACGAGAGACCGAAGGGCUCCAGUUCGCUGGCCCCAGCAGCUCCUCCAAACAAGGCCUCCCCUCUGCCUCCCCUGCCUGCUGGCUCCAAGGGGGCAGGUGAAGGUGGGGGCGAAGGAGGGGGUGAAGGUGCGGGGGGGGCAGCCCCCUGGGCCUUGAGCUCCUCCCCGCUACCGUCAUCUUGAAUAAAGAAACGGUUUCCUCUUCUCCCACCUGCCCCUGGCGGUGGAGGGGGACCCCGAGCAGCCGCCUGGGGCUCCAGGGCAGCAGCGGGUUCUAGGGCAGGGCAGGGGGUGUGGGCGGCCUCUGCCUCGGGGAAGUCCGGGCUCACCCCCUGGCCCCCUCCGUAUGUCUGGCCCCUCUGGGGGCUGUUGAGAAAACGAUCGGGGUCGAAAGCAGGGCUGGGAGGAGCUGGUGGGGCAGGGGGCUCGGAUCCUACAACCACAGCCAAGCUCACGGAAGGCCUGGGGUCAGCCUGGGGGGCCAAGUGCCUGGUGGGCGUCAAGCCCCCAGUGCGCUGCUCCAGUCCCGUCAGGAGGAGGAUUGCGGUGCCUCCUCUGGAUGACGCCCCUCGAGAGGUGGGUGGGCUAGGUCUGAUCUCUAGGGGUUCCGCAAAGCCUGAGGAAGAGGAGGAAGAGGAGGAGGAAGAAGAAGGGGAAGUAUGUGCCUUGGGGAGCUCUGGGGGAAGAGGGGCGAUCAGCGGAGGAGGCUCAGGGGGGUGGGGGUGGGAGACAGAGGUCAGGGUUAAAGCUCGGGGCUCCACUUUGGGAGAGAUGAUGCGGUGUUUCGUGCUGCUGCAUUUGUGGGUGAGGCUCCCGGAACCUGCAGCGGAAAAGGGUGGGAGGAGAAAAGGGAAAGGACACUUCAUUCUCCACCUUCCCUUACCGGCAGCCUCCAGGCGUUUCCUGGCCCUUUGCGGGUGUACGAGAUGUAAUACCGACUGUGGCCACUGGGAGGCAGAAGCGGUGCCCCUUCUCCCCAAAUUAACAGGACUGCAGGAGCCCGCAGAAGAGUAGCUGAGAGAGACUCGUAAAGGCACAGAAACAGGACAAGAGAACAGAGCCGAGGCGGUACCGUCUAGGUGUCAACCGCCGGGCUGGGGUGGCCCAGAGAUGCUAAGAGUAGGAGACAGGGAAGGAGCCAGGGCUGCUGGAACUCCGGGGAAAGGAGCCCGUGUGCAGCCAGCCGGGAAGGCCUCUGCUCCUCUGGCCCAGCUUUCUGGGACGUGCAAAAGACAUGCAAAUCCUCAUGCAAAUCCUGGCAGGCCGGGGGAGCCCUCGGCCAGAGGAGGCGCGGCGUGGCCAGGGGUCACUAACCGAGGCCUCCACUGCAGAGGCAGGCGUGGGUUCGGGGUGCGGGCUUGGUCGGGUGGCUGUCCAGGAUCUGCUGCACCAGCUGCUCUACGGAGAACUCCUCUGUGCCGUUCCCACAGCUCCACUUGAUGCCGUGAACUGUGGGGGUGGGGGUGGGGUGCGGGGAGGGGGUGCCAUGGGGCUCGCACACCGUCCCCACAGCGCCCCGCCGGCUUCUCCAAGCACCUGACACGCUCCGAGGCUUCUGGCCAGCUGCCUCAAAGCAGCUCGGACACGCAGCUCCCAAAUGUCCCUCAGCCCCCUCUCUCCGCGUUCCCGGACCUCAGGACACGGCGGGAGUCCGGGCGGCCCCUCGGAAAAGCACCCUCCCGGGCUCCCGGGUGCAGAGGCCCUCGUCCGCACGCCCCCAGCAGCCCCCAGCAGUGCCGCCCUAGCCCCCCGCGGGCCUUACACAUGGGCUUCAGCUGCCCCAGCAGCUCCUCCCGGGGCCACUUCAGCCACUCGCGACGGUCGCCGCUGAUGGAGCAAAACAUGGGGCUGCAGCCCUUUCCGCAGUCCUCCAGGGCUGGGACGUUCAGGUAGUGCACAAGCACGAUGUCAGGGUUCUGGGAGCCCAAGGCAGACACACAGCGCCAUGGGGUCCAUGGGGGGCUCGGCUUCCUCGUCCUGGCCUCCUUCCCGCGUGCCCCCGGCCUCACCGCCCCCCCCCCCCCCCCGACGUGUGACUUUCUCCACCCCUACCCCCCUUCUUCCCAGCCCCCAGCUCCCUGAGCCCCGUGGCCUCACCUGGAGCAGCCAGUAACAGCGCCGAUGGAAUGUGGGGACGAUGGAAGAGUGAACGUAGCAGCCAUAGAGACACUGCCAGGAGACAGGCUGGGGUGGGGGGAGGGCUAGUCUGCUCCCCGACUCUUCCUCUGUUCGGUCCCUUUGCAGGAAUCCCAACCUUUCCAGCAGCUCCUCUUUCCCCAGCCCACCCCCGCCCCCUGCCCCGGGGGGGGGGGCUCCCCAUGCGCCUUCCCAGUCCUAGCACCCAGACAAGGCCCAGACUGGAGGCGGGGGAGGGGCUGUCUGGAGAUGGGGAGGCAGGGCGAGAGCACAGCCCAGCAGAGGAGCCGCCGCGACUUGUGCUCAGGGCUUCCGGACACAGGCCCCCGAGGGAAUCCAGGAGAAGCGAGGGGCGUGGGCGCUGAUGCCCUCCCAGGAGCCUGAUCCCAGAGAGCUGGCCGGGGAGGGGGCCGUGGCACGUGAGUGAGAAGGGAAGGGUGGCAGGGGGGAGGGGGACACAGGUCACCGGGCCCCAGCAUGGCUGGGACCGGGCCGAGGACGGACGGCUGGCACCCGGCUCACCUCCAUGCCCUGGACUUUCAGCUUCAUGUGGUCCUCGCGGGUGGUCUUCCCGUCCUUGCGCUUCUUCCAGAGGUAACCAUCCUUCCGGUACUUCACCUUCUUGCGGUUGUAGAGGAUAAUGGAGCCGUUCUGAGGCCUGGGAAGGGAAGGGUUGGCCCUGCGUUCUGGAAACAGGAUCUGGGACCCCCUGCCACUCCCCACCUCACGAACCUCACCUUGUCUUUGGGGCACAGGACAGCCACUCGUCAUGCUUCUCAAAGGUGAUCAAAUAGGACGCAAUUUCCUGUAGGACAGGGGGCGCUCAGGUGGGUGUCCCCUUCGCAGAGUCUCAGCCUGGCCUCCCACUCCUGGCCCUCGGCCCCACUCUCUCCUGAGUUCCGGCGGCCAGGGCGGGCUGGCGCCCACGUCUGCUCCCAACCGGGACCACCACCUCCCGAGAACCCCGGGCUUCAUCUCAGACGAGAGUCUAACCUCUCCUUCCCUCCUCUCGAUGCGGGCCUUGACCUUGGGGUCAAGUCUGAUCUCUUCAUCAUCAACUCUUCAUGCUGCCCUGUUACUUCGCUCUUUCUAAAACCUAUCUUCGUGUCUUCUUCUGACUCAAGAAACCUAAAUGGCUCGACACGGCCAGGAAUUCUGGAUUCCUCAGCCCGGCUCCAAGGUUCUCUCGGACCAGGAAUCAAGUCACUGCUCUCCCUGUUUACCUAUAUCCCAUCUACCACUCCUACCAGGCCGGUCCAUCGACUCUCCUCUGAACGUGCCCUGAGCGGUCAGCUCCCGCGUGUCAGUAUCCUAUAGGCCGGACGUGCCUAGAUCUCCUAGCCACCCCAUAGGGCAAAUCCCUUCCCACCUCUCCGAAAAGCCCUGCUCGCUGCCCUUAGCUUCCCCACACUUUUAACAUCACCACCCACGUACGUUUUUGCCGAUGAUCCUCGUUUAAUGAAUUAAGUCAGUGAUGAUCAAACAGCACAACGUAUCGUGUGUGCGGAGUACAGAAGGGGUGUAACACGAGGGCCGUGCCUCCGGAAAGAGCCAACACCGGUGGCGGUUUUAUUAACAGCAGAGGCUCUAUGGUCAAAUAGACCCCACAAGGUAGACCGGUUGCCUCGUCCACAGCACAGGGGUGACAGUGUCUGCCCCACAGGGUCAUUCAAGGACUGGAUGAGAUAACACAGGUCAGCACGGUACUAGGUUUGUAAGGAAGAUUUUGUAGGUGGUAACUGUUAUUUUUACCCAGGUGGACGUGCCCAGAAGCAAGCUCCUACGAGAUACAGGUCUUUACACCUCCUCCGUGACCCGCAAAGAGCUUAGAGCAAUACUGUGCAAUGAGGAGCAUGGACACAGGAAGACCCCCACUGGCCUUCCUCCAACCCACCAGGCCUUGCGAGGUCCUCCUCCCCCCAAGCUCCCUGGAGAACCUCAUUUGUAUUCCAGCGAAGCCGCUCUGGAGGCAGCAGUGGACAGCGAGGAAGACACUCCAGCAGCUUCUUGGGGAGAAAGAUCUUCAGGUGGUGGCUGUUCUCUAGGGGGAAGCAGAAGAAAGGGCUUCUGUCAGGGCGGCUUCUGACACCUCUGUGACGGCCCAGGGCAAAAGGGCCGGAUCCAAAGCCCUGGGAGCAUCUGGAACCAGGACAAGGAGAGCAGGGAUCCAAGAACCAAGGGUCACCACAGACUGUGUACUCACCAGCAACCUCGGUGGUGUCCUUGGUAUUCAUGUUGAGGGCUCCAGGGGGCAAGGUCACCCCCGGCCUGAGAGGCCGGGGGGAGGGGGAGUCUGUGCUGGGAAGGCAGAGAACAAGGUCACGGCAGAAGGCCCACAUUGACCCAGGAUGAGGAGAAUAAGGCGGGAGAGGGCUGCGGAGCUGGGUUGCGGUACCCGGGAAAGAUGAAGAGGUGAGGGGAAAGGGCUAGACUGAGAUGGGAGAGUAGAGCAGAAUCGAGCAGAGGGAGACUCCAGACCUCGUGAGAGGAACCAGCAGGAGUGGGGAGACACCCCCUCUCCGACAGAAUCAUCAGGAAGAGACAAAUGGGGUGGGGGAGGGGAGAAGGCUGGAGGGGUGGCGCUUCAGAGGACCCAGAGUGAGUGUAUAUGUGUGUGUGUGUGUGUGUGUGUGUGUGUGUGUGUGUGAGGGGGGGGGGUCUUGUGGAGGCUGGGGCUACAGUGGGGUCAGGGCCUGGGGGUGGGACUCCGGGCACCUGGUCCUUGGAGGAUGGUUUGGCAGACGACAGCCUGGACGCUGGGGGCAGGGCGGGAGAUCUAAGUCCGCUGGAGAGCUAGGCCUUACAAGACACACCCUGAGUUCCUUCUCGAUUUGAUAUUUGCAAGGGGAAGGGCAUAUCUGACGACUGAUCCUAACCUACGCCCUCUCCUCCAGGUUGGUCAGGGCCUGGGAGGAUCCAUCCGGGCCAGGUACCCAGACCCCAGCUUCCCUCCCUCCGGACGACCCAUCCUCCACUCUGAGGCCGACGGCCCUCCCCACCCCUCCCCCACCAGCUCUCUCCCCAAACGCCUCUGCCUGCCCCCGGCCUCCAGGCCCACCGUACCCCAUCUACCACUCGGGCUCCAGCCUGAGCCCCCACCCUCCCGAGGGCACAGAUGGAAGCGGGAGGAUGCUCUCAGCGCGGGCUCGGGGCUGCGGGCUCCGCCAGGUGUCCGGGGCGGAGAGGGGAGGAGGUCGGUCCGCGCCGGCAGAGCUCCGGGCAGCCGGGUCUGGGUAAGGACUCCGCCCCAGGGCGCAGGUGCGCAGUCCGGGCCAGGCAGCCUGCCAGGGUGCGGAGCGGCCCCGGGCGGGGGUCCCCGGAGAAGCCCCGACGUGGGAGGGUCCGCCUC
rnacentral:lncRNA from 1 species